GAUAAACACAAAACAUAACAACAUUGUUGUAAGAUAUUUUAUCCAACUAUUAUUAUAACUGUUACUUCUAUUAUUUUGUUAAUCAUUUUCAAGUUUUCACAUUGAUCUAGUGCUAAGUUUUGUUCUGGUUUAAACUUCAAAUGGUCAUCAAUUGAUAGUAAUUGAUCACCCAACGGUAUCCAAAAUAGGUUGAAACGCGUUAGCCCUAAAAAGGAAACACGAGAGUUUUAUUCACUAACCAUGAGCUUGACAACAUUGUAAUGACAAUCAUUUGUAUUUAAUAAAGCAAAAGGAGGAUUUCCUUCGGACAACAAUUCACGAUGCCAAAGUUAAAAAUCAACAAGUCUUCAGAAGGUGCAAUCCAGAAUAGACCACUUCCUGAUAUUCCCGGUACUGGAGAAGAUAAUCCAUCCAUCUCAUCAUCACAGGACGACUUUUCCACCAUGGGUAGUUCUUCAAUUUCUUUUCAUUCCUACCAUCAAAGAUUGUCUAAAGAAAGUUUGAAUCAAAUUCCGGUCGAAGAAGAAGAGGAUCCUCAGCUUUUCGUGGCUCUUUAUGAGUUUCAGUCUGGAGGAGAGUACCAAUUAUCUGUAUUAAAAGGUGAACAAAUUCGUGUUCUCUCCUACAACCGGACUGGAGAGUGGUGUGAAGCUCAAUCUCGUUCUGGUAAAAUCGGUUGGGUGCCUGCUAAUUAUAUUACUCCUGUUAACCGGCUUGAAAAGCAUCCUUGGUACCAUGGGCAGAUUGUUAGAUCGGCAGCUGAAUAUCUACUCUCAUCUGGUAUCAACGGCUCUUUUUUAGUUCGUGAAAGUGAAAGUUCGCCUGGUCAAAGAUCAAUAUCGUUAAGAUAUGAAGGUCGUGUGUAUCACUAUCGAAUUAACGAGGACACUGAGGGUAAAGUUUAUGUGACUGCUAAGUGUCGAUUCAAUACGCUUGCAGAACUUGUGCAUCAUCAUAGUAUGCAUGCUGAUGGAUUAAUUACCAUGUUACUAUAUCCAGCACCUAAACGUGGAGACUUUUCAUCUUCUUCAUCCCCUAAGUCUGACGAGUGGGAAAUUGAUAGAACUGAUAUCGUGAUGAAACAUAAAUUAGGAGGAGGACAAUAUGGUGAUGUUUAUGAAGCUUCCUGGAAAAGAUACAACAUGACAGUUGCAGUGAAAACAUUGAAAGAAGAUACAAUGGCUUUAGAAGAUUUUUUAGAAGAAGCCGCUAUUAUGAAAGAAAUGAAACAUCCCAAUUUAGUUCAAUUAUUAGGUGUUUGCACAAGAGAACCGCCCUUUUAUAUAAUCACCGAAUUCAUGACACGAGGUAAUUUACUCGAUUACUUACGCAAUUGUAAUAGAGAAGAGGUAAACUCGGUUGUCGUCAUUUUCAUGGCAACACAGAUAGCAACUGCUAUGGAAUAUUUAGAGUCUCGUAGUUUUAUCCAUCGAGAUCUUGCUGCUCGUAAUUGCCUCGUUGGUGAGAAUCACUUAGUCAAAGUUGCUGAUUUUGGCCUUGCUCGUUUAAUGCGAGAUGAUACUUAUACUGCCCAUGCUGGAGCCAAAUUUCCAAUUAAAUGGACAGCACCAGAAGGCCUCGCUUACAAUAAAUUUUCAACAAAAUCAGAUGUUUGGGCUUUCGGUAUUCUUCUUUGGGAAAUAUUUACUUAUGGUAUCCCUCCUUAUCCAGGAGUUGAGCUCGCCAAUGUUUACCACAUGUUGGAAUCUGGUUACAGGAUGGAGUGUCCAACUGGUUGUCCAGCAGAAAUCUUUGAAACUAUGAGACAGUGUUGGCAGUGGGAGGCUGAUGAUAGACCAUCUUUCCAAGAAAUUAGAGAAUCAUUAGAAAGUAUGUUACAAGCUGCACGAGAGUCACCCCCAACUAGUUCCCAAUUACAACAUUUUCAACCAAUUUUAGCCAAUAAUUGUAAAAUACAAAAUAUCGCCAAAGCAAAUCAAAAGCUCUCCGGUAGCAUACCCAAUUUACACUCACUCAUCGAAGGCCCUGGAUCUCAAACAAAAUGGCAUGCAAUGAAUGUCAACAUUGGCUCAAAUGAAGCUAUAAUUACUACUAAGUCAACUAUAGUCCAAUUAAGAAGAGGAAAUACUGAUACCAAUGGUACUCUAUCUAAAAAACCACCCUCCACAAGACCAGCUUUAGAGGGUAGUGUUCUUCUACCCAGCUCACGACAUCCUGUUAGAAAACUGAAACAAGCUCCUGUGCCACCAAAACGAACCAGUUCUUUCCGAGAUUCAACUCAAUUACCUGAUCUACCAGUUCCUGGGUCAGCUGUGAGGCCGCCCGCCUUGGAAGAUGAAAAGAUUCUUAAAGGAGCUAGAGAAACUAUGGUUAAAGUGAUGGAAUCAAUAUCCAAAGAAACACCUUCUUAUGAUUUGUCUCAAGUUAAUAUAACAGCAAGGAAUCAGGAUAUUUUGCCCGCUCGAAUUGCUAAAUUAAAUAGAAAACCUAAAGUACCACCAAUAGCUCCAAAGCCCACCAACAAAACAUCCACCUUUUCAAUUGAUCCAAUCCCACCUUCAAACACCUCAAGUGACAGUGAGAAUAAUAGAGAACCUGCCAAAGAAAACGAAUCUAACUCUAGGAGGAAAGUGCAAAUACCUGCCGUUUUUCAGGUUGGCACUUUAAAAAGAACAGUUGCCAGGUAAUUCCAAUCUUAAUGCAUUGUUAAUUUAUCAAAUCACUUUGACGCCAAAACCAUUUAAAAACACAAAAACACAGUCUUUACUUCUUUAAAUCAAUUGAAAGAAAUUUAUUCCUUUCUUCACAAAUACAAACUGUUGAUAUUUAGAAGCCAAUAAGCAACAAAACCUAACUUAACUCUGAAUAUUUUGCUGUAUGGCCAACUUAUUUAACAUCGUUACUCAGUUGAUUACAGCUUAUUACGGAGUUUUGUGUCGGCAUAAAGAAGGAAUAAAAUUUCUUCAUUUAUGAGGAUUCUAAGGUGAGAGAAGCUAAACAGAUGAUCUGAUGUCAGACAUCGAAAUGACUGCGGAUGCUAAACUUGAAUUGGUAUCCUGUUGUCUCAAACUCAACAAAUCAAAAUAAAGCCACUUAAUUUAUGGAGACAGAUGAACAUUAAUAAUAACAGUCAAAGUUCAAAGCUGGAAGCUGCUUAACUGUCUCAUGAUAUGGUUGCUGGUUCGCUGAAUUAUCGGACUGUGUGUUCAAGAAGUUCAAGGAAAUGAGA